UCCCCUGUGGCUCAGUUGGUAGAGCAUGGUGUUUGCAACGCCAGGGUUGUGGGUUCGAUUCCCACGGGGGGGA
rnacentral:tRNA from 1 species